rnacentral:lncRNA from 1 species
UUUUUUUAAAUUUUUUUUAAUAAUCAUGAUUUUAUAUAUAUCAUAAAGAAAAGUUACAAACAUAUGGAGGUAUAAGGCUCCAAAAAUACAAAAACACAGAUAAAAAAUAAAUACAUAACAAGUUGAUAAAGCCUACACCAUCUAAGUAGGAAGGUGAAAACUGAGAAUAGGCCAUCACUUCUAAAGUCAUAACCUGACUUCAACUCAAAAUAAAUGCACCACUCGAAAUACGCAAUCCCAAUUCCAUACUCCAAAAGUAACCAAGUUGUAUGGGGAACUAAACUAUAGAUGAAAAGGAACCAAACUAUACGGGGAACUAAACUAUUGAUGAACCACGGAAGAGUAUUGCCACACCUGCAAGUUGAAAAUGCUAGACUUAUUACAAUGUACAUAUUAUUGGCUUAUUGCACAUCCUGAUAGGUUCAAAGAGAAUGUAGUCACCAAUUUUCAGUUUUGCUGCAAUGAUAAACUUCUUCCACCAUUGUGGCGAAAGUAGAGAGACGACCCAUCAUUGCCUACCUCAACUAGGAAGUCACGCCUACCCGGUAAGCUCAGUAUGACCUGUUUGCAGUCAUUGAAAUACCAGCGAACACCAUUCGAAAUUUUCUGCAGUGUUUAAAAAUUUAUGUGGUGAAGUGUACGUAUACUACAAAAUAACACUUAUAACCAACACCAAACAAAGUAAAUUUUUAUGCCUACAUAUGAACAAACCUAUGUGUUACAUAACUAUCAAGUAUCAACAUCAAGCAAUUUUGCCUUAUAUAUGAUAAAGUUUACGCAAUAAUGUACAAUAUUAAUUAUCAAUUUGUCAGACAGAAAUUCAUACCAUGACACAGCAAUUUGUCACAUGUCCCUUGCUACACUCUUUAAUCCGACCAGUAAGCAUGCUUCAUGUUGAGAGGCUUGAGUUUGCUUGGGUCGUCGAAAAGUUGUAUCCGUAAUGCAAACUCAUAGACAAGAUAAUUGAUAUUUACACAUUUACAAUAUGUUAAGCCACAUUACUGCCCAAGUCGAUUACAAACUGACACCAAUACUUGAUUUAUAGAAUGACAACAACAAUGAAUACAAAAUACAAGUUGGUUCAAUAGUAUAUUUCUAAACUGACAAGAUCUCUUGAAAAAGGUGCUUGGACACCAGAUAGACAAACAAGGCUUUGUCCUUGUAUUUUGACCUAAUAUGAAGGAGUUUUGGUGGUAGUGAACCCCAACUUACAUCGGUAGAUCGGUGGCUCGAACUUUACAAGAUAUUGGAGAAAACUCAAACCCCGGCCUAAGACACAAUGUAUUUAUGAACACUGUCAUCUUCUUGAUUGACACUAGCCGUGCCUUAACAUCGAGUGAAGUGAUGGUACAACUUGUCAUUCCAAUUCGCAUUGUUUUUGCUACUUCAAUGAGUGUAUUAGUUAAAAAAAUGUCGUUAGGGUGUACUAAUUGAUAGUAGAAUGGUGCACAAAUUGAUAUCCAUAGAGAUUGACCAACUUGGACGGUUGGCGUUGUUGCCUCUAUAACACGGAAUUGGAUGGUUCAUACUUUCAACUUUUUAUAACGAUUCUGUCAAACAAUGUCAUUAGUAGUCCACCAUUGUGCCAUUAUUUACAAAAUUAUAAUAUUACCAAAAUAUCAAACACUGACAAGUUCCUAUUGUUUGUAAAACAAAUCCACGACAUUCCAUAAACUAAAAAGUUUAAUAAACACAUGUGAUACACACGUAGACCUCACAUCUAGAAAUAAAACUUAUCUUCCAGCUCCUUGUACACCAGGUACGCUGGAACAUACAGAUUUCGAAUAUGUGUGUAACACUUAGGUAGGUCUUCCUCAAGCGCAAUCCAAUCAUCAUCUGAAGCAAUGACCAUCUUGGUUUCAUUAUCCCAAUGAAAUCCCUCGCGGUCCUCACACAACUCUUUUAUAAGUUUUGCCAAGCGCUUCAAAUGGCGUAGACGCUGCCAAAUGCUAUAGACACACAAAUCCAGCCGAGUGUGCUCAUUUAUAACAUCAGCAGCCCUUACAACUGCCGACCUAAGACGGAGAAACAAUGGGCCCUCUCCGGUGUCUGCUAACAUAGUAGUACACAGAGUGUGGUCCAUAUCUGGAGUCCACACAAACACGCGACGUCCUAAGCGGGUAUUUCGAGGCGUGGUUUUAAAAAGCACCAUUCCUAGUGAAUUUACCACAAUCAGAAUAUAUCUGAAACUAAUAAUGGACACACACAAGUAAAAAAAAAAAAAGAACCGAAAUUACUAACGUAAAAAUUCACAAAUUUGACAAGUAAGUAAUAGUAAAUUUUCAGAAAUCUAUCAAUAAAUUUUGAUAGAACUCACUAUUUAAACAGUUUUAUCUUGCAUUCUAUACAAGAUAUUACAUUAACCACCCCACACCGUAUUCGUACGCAUGAACAUAAUAAAUCAUAUAAUAAAUAUGACAAUGGUAUAAUAAUCAUGAUACUAUAUAUAAUAUAUAAAUAUAAAAAAUAGUUAGUGACAAACACAAACCUUAGAAAAUACUGCACAUUGAGAAAAGAAAAACACGAUCAAAGCAAAGUCAAGCAAGACUGCAAAAAAAAGCAUACAUUAUCAACAACAAGAUCUGCAAAUAAAUGUUCAACUAAUACAUCGAAAAAAUAAAGAUUAAACCAACCUAUACUGAGUGAGAGAAGACGAUACACAACGAACAAAGAUCUGCAAGUAAAAGUUCAUCAGAGUAAUAUGCUUCAUAUUGAUAAAAAUGAGAACUUUUACAAACAAAAGAAUGGUAUAUAACAAUUUAAAUAUUAGCAAACUAUAAUGAUAUUUUAAAUUAGUAUCGAUAAACAUUAAACAAAGUAUAAAUUGGUGACAUUUUAUCAUUAAAGCAAAGUAUAAUUUUACUAGCAAAGUAUAAUGACAGUUUCAAUCAUAUACACAGUUAAAUCAAUUGGACAUUCAACUAGAUACACAUAAAUCAAUUGGACAUUCAACUAUAUACGCAGCUACGCAUAAAUUAAUUGGACAUUCAAUUAGGCAAUUUUACAUUGUAUCAUCUAAACACCACUAGUGAUGUAUAACUAAUACUAAUCUGGAUUUUUGUUUUGCUUUGAUAUGACUAAGUGAAGAAAACUAUUUACAACUUUUGACCACCAAAACAAAUUUGUGCCGACUCAAAAGAUUUUUCUGUUUUAUUAGAAGCCAUGGAAAUUCAAAACUGUACAACAUUAAGACCCUAAUUACUGUUGAAAUUAAAUAUAAUUAGUGAUGAAUUAGGGGUUUAAUUACUGAUGAAUUUCACAUAUUAUUGUUGAAUAACACUAAUUACUAUUGAAAUUGAAUAAAUCCUCAAUUUUUAAUGAAAUUAGGGUUAGGGUUUUAUCAAAUUGGGGAUGAUUACGGAGAACAAAUAGAAGAAGAACACAAAUACAACAUCAACAACAACAACACAAGAGGGAAAAAAAACCAGAAUUCGAGUUAAAAUUGUUCACUUUGAGAUUAGAAUGAUGAAGAAUAAUGAAAAAGAGUGAAAAGGGGUUGAAGGCAUACCUUAAACAAGAGAAACACCCUUGAACACGAGUUUCACCACCAUGAGAGCCGCCAUUGAAGUUAUCUUGAGUUAGGUUGUG